GAGCAUCGACACCAUGGCCUUGAUCCCUCUCUUCAUCCUGCUUGUCCUUUGCACAGGGAGCAGAGCUCAGUCUGUGGUGACUCAGGAGCCUUCUCUGACCGUGAUCCCAGGAGGAACGGUCACCCUGACCUGCAGCUCCAGCACAGGGGCGGUCACCUCUGGGCACUAUCCCUAUUGGUUCCAGCAGAAAUCUGGCCAAUCCCCGAGGAGGCUCAUUUACGAUACCAACAAUCUUGUAUCAGGUGUCCCUGCCCGGUUCUCAGGGUCCCUCCUUGGGGACAAAGCUGCCCUCACCAUCAAGGGGGCCCAGCCUGAGGAUGAGGCUCACUACUACUGUGCCUUGCAUUAUAGUGGUGGUCUAUGGCACAACCUGGUGGUGAGAGGGCAGACCUUGUUAUACCUACAGAGGCUUUUUGAAACUGACCGGUCCUACACAUUCCAGGCACUCCCUUUGGAAGCCAGCCAGAGCCAUGCUGCUCUUUCCAGGGAUGUUGCCAGGACCUUGAAAGCUAGGAAACCAAUGGAUGAGUGA